UACAUUUUAGUGUAUGAUGCACGGAAAUUUUUGAUAUUUCAAGGGAUAGUUUAAAUCUAUAAUAUGUAA
rnacentral:tRNA from 1 species